AUGGGGGCGGGGAGGGGUGGGAAGCAGCAGGAGGGGAAGGGGAGGAGCGGAGGAGGGCGGGGAAGGAGGCGGGAGGGGCGGGGAAAGGGUCGGAGGGGGCGGGGGGGGAAGGGGCCGGGGCGGGGCGGGGCGGGGCGGGGAGGCCUGGGAGACAGAGAAAAGUUUUCAGGUGGAGUCCAGAGCAGGGAGGGUCCGGCGUCCAAAUCCAUUCCCUGUGUCUGGCACUGAGGGAGCAGGGCAGGGAAGAAGCGAGCCCCGAGGAAAAUGAGGGCAGCCCCCAAGCCCCAUAACCCGAGUUCAGCAGAAAGAUUUGAUCCUAAAGGCCGUGGGCAGUCCCGGAAGGGUUUAGACAGGUGACUGCCAAGGUCAGAGUUUUAUCCCAAGGCCGUCUUUUGGGGAACCCAGCCUCAGGCACCAGAAAGACUCUGAGCACAGCCCCCCUGGCCCAGCAGGGGCAGGGACUUGAUCAGAAGUAAGCCUUUGCUUCAAGCCCCUGGGGUUGGGGAGCCCUUUGUCACAGCAGCAUGACUUGGCCAAGCUGGAGACCGUAAUCCCGUUUGGAGAAGAGGACAUAGGGCUCAGGGAGGGACCGAGACGUCCUCUCUGUGCCCACAGUGGCUGGACAGGUAGAGAGCUCCCCGCCCCUGAGGGUGUGCAAACCAGAGAUGCCACCGAUGGUUCGAGGGUCCUCGAGGGGGACCCUCCCUGCCAGUCUCAGCUCAAGCAUCUGCCAGGGGAAGGUGAGCAGGUACAGGCCACGCAGGCCCAGGAGGUGGCAGCCAGAUGCGACCCGCUGCUUUGCCUCGUCCUCCUUCCUCUGUCGUUACAGGGGGAUGUGGCCAGCUCCUACCUGGGUAAGGCACGUGUGCAGACUUUGAACUCCCUUCCCCAGCCCCCACUGCCCGCCAUCACCCCAUCCCUGCCCUCCCCCCCCCGUCACGGUGCUUCCUUCUUUCCUCCUUCCAGACCUCCCUCCUGUCUCCACCAGCUCACUCCGUCCCUCAGACACAAUGACCCAUGCCACUCAGGUUCCUGUCCAGAGACCCCGGGGCUGCUGGGUGACCGUGGCCAUCCAGCUCCUCCCCCCUCCCCCAUGCGGAACCACAGCCCACAAGCGAACUCGGGCCCCACAGAAUCAAUCCCGCGGUCCCCGGAUGUGGUCCCCUUGCUUACAAUGGGGUGAGUUGAGGGAGGGGACGGCCACCACACUGAUGGAUCGUCACGCACCAUGUGAACACAAGGCCUUUCCAGGUCACUCGACAUCUUCCGCCUGAGAGUGGGCCAGGGGCCCCCCUCAGGUCCCUGCAUGAUGGUCCGGGUGUCUUCACUUCCUUCUUCCCUGACUUCCUCUCUGGGCUGUAGCCCUGCUGAGCUCUCAUUUUUAUUUUAUUUUAUUUUAUUUUACUUUUUUGAGAGAGAGAGUGAGAGAGAGCGAGAGCAAGCAUGAAUGGGGGAGGGGCAGAGAGAGAGAGGGAGACACAGAAUCCGAAGCAAGCUCCAGGCUCUGAGCUGUCAGCACACAGCCCGACGCGGGGCUCGAACCCACAAACCGUGAGAUCAUGACCUGAGCCGAAGUCGGUCGCUUAACCCACUGAGCCCCAAGGCGCCCCUGAUUAUUGUCAUUAAUAAAAUGUGUCUGAAACAGCUACCCCUCCGAGUG
rnacentral:lncRNA from 1 species